UAAAAUGCACACUUUUUAAUUUUAGGGGAAGUUUUUCUUUGAUCAUUGAUUAGUCUCCAUUUUUCAUUUUUCAGAGAAGAAUUAUUCUCCCAUUUUUCGCCGCCAUUUAAUCCCUAGAUAAUCAUUGAGCAGAGUCAUUCAAGCUCAGCCAUGGCCGUCGUCGAGGUUCGCUCCGACAAGAAGAAGAAGAAGCAUUCAUCAGUAGAUACGCCCAAAGCAGUCGGUGACUUGGACUCGCAGCCGGCUUAGAAGGACACCAAUUUCAUGAUCAAGCCACAGAGCUACAAUCCAACCAUCGGCACUUCUCAGUGGCCACUCUAUCUCAAGGACUACGAUCUUCUCAUUGUACGAACCAGACAAUACACUCCUCGACUCAAGCCACAGAGCUACACUCCCACCAUCGACACUACACUCUUCUCAAGGGCUGAGUACAUAAGGAGAUUAGGAGUAUGCGGACUGGCAUUCUGGGUGAGAAAGAUGACAUGGUUACUGUGCAUGAUGUUAUGGAUGCUCAAUGGGCAUAUGAUAAUUAUAGAGAUGAGAGUUACUUGAGGAAGGUGAUUAUGCCACUUGAAAUGAUUCUGAAAAGUUAUAAAAGACUGGUAGUGAAGGGCUCUACUGUGAAUGCCAUUUGUUAUGGUGCUAAGUUGAUGAUGCUGAGAUUUGAGAAUAAUAUUGAGGCUGGUGAGGAAGUUGUGCUUAUGACAACCAAAGGAGAAGCAAUUGCUUUGGGGAUUGCAAAGAUGACUACUGCAGUUAUGGCCAUUGUUUAGGGGAUUCCUGGGUGAGAUUUAAAUUCAUGAUUUAUAUUCCCUUGAAAGUUGUAAAAUGUUUGUGUCCUUUCUAUUAUUUAUAGGUACCUGGAUACACCUGGUGUAUGGAAAAAAUAGCAAGUUGAAGCUUGGAAGCUUAUUGUUGAUGUUGUUCACUUCACACUAAAGGUGGUAUCUUUUUCAUAUCAUUUUUUUGUAUAUGGGUAGAGUUUCAAAUACAGGUGCGUUUUAGAAUCUCCUGUAAGACCUUAAUAUACAAUAUGAUGAGAUUAUGAAAGGAAUUGUUGAAAAAUAUAAAGUAUUCUAUGCUAUGCUAUUGUAUAGAUAUAUGACCAAGUUGACUAUUAAUUACCCAUUAUGUUAUGAAUUAGCAAGAAUGAGAAAGAAAAUGCAGAAUUGUCUCGUAGAAUAUACAUCGACUGAUUAUUUCUUACAAGACAAAAUAAGCUUUAAGUUUAACAUGUAAGCUGAGAUUGCUUUAAUCUCUUACAUGAACAAUUCCCAAAGAACAAUGAAUGGGGGCAUUAAUUAGAACCACAAUUGCUUACCUAAUGAUAUUUCUUCCUUUUUUUUUAUAAUUCUAGCCUAACCUUCUUUCCACUUUAGUUGUCACUGCUCGUUAGUUUUUAUAAUCUAUAUUUCAGUAUGAAAAUAAUUAAUGUUUAGUUUCAUUAUGCUAUUAUGAGUUGAUGUCUUUUUUUAAUAGAUGUUAAGACACUGUAGGUUCAUGUUAUAUGUGUCUGGUUCAGGCCUGCAUUCUUUUUUUCAAGUGAUGAAAAGAUGGAACUGGCUCUUGGAAUAUUGAGUUUUACAUCUAAUUCUUUUGUCAAGGUCGGGGGAUGGUGGUCGGCGGUGGCAAGUGGGUCGGGGUCGGGCUGUACGGCGGCAGGGGGCUCGGGGCUGUGCUCGACGGUGGGUGGGGGGGUCUCGGGUCUGGGCUCGACGGUGCAGGGGAUCUCUCAAUCUCACUGCCCUCCAUCUCUCAAUCUCACUGCCCUUUCUCUCUCACUCCGGUCUCACUCUCGCAAGUGUAUUUCAUCUCAGGAACUUUUAAGGAACAAUCCGACCAAUCCAAAUAUAACUUGUUUCUAGAAGACAUUUGCACUUGCAGUUGGAAAUUCCCUUGUCUCAGUGAGUUUUGGAGAUGAUGACCAAUGCAUUGAAGGUCGUUGAAUGAUGUUAGAGAAUUGGUGUGGCCGAAAUUGGACAAGUUGGUUAGAGAUGAGGAUAAUGCAAUUAUUUCUACCCUACACAUUGCUGCUAUAUUAGAAAACAGUGUAAUUUUUCAUGACUACAUUGAUACAUCACUUGAGAAGAAGAUGAUGAAUUUAUUUUGCUAUUUAAUUUUUGUGUUGAUAGUUGAUGUAAAUUUGGUUUAUUUCUUCAUGGUCGAUUGAAGUUCGUGUAAUUAAGCUAUAAAAUUAUGUUAAAUAAAAAGUUUAAGUCUUUUUAUUA